rnacentral:lncRNA from 1 species
GCUGAGGAUCGCGAUGAAGCACUGCAGUCGUGCUGAGAUGCUGCUUGGGUGGUACUGGAAACCGACCUAGCGUCAGUGCUCAUUCUGUCCCACAACUUCUUGGCACUAUGACCUAUAAAAAUAAAAACGACAUAGCUCACAGAGCAAUAGAAAUGCAGAUAUAAAGUCUACACAGGAAAAGAAAAUUUGGAAUAUUCAAAACCUAGACAAUGAAUGGAUUUAACUGUUGUCAUGGUUACAGAGGUCAUUACCACCAGCCCUGGGAAGCCACUAUGGGAGGCAGCGUGUUGCACACAAUGGAUGGUGAAGCCUUUCAGGCACUCCAUUGAGAAGUACACAAAGGACAGAUCUCACACUUCGUUUUAAGUGCACCUCAGUCCGUAGGAUGAAAAACAUGCUCCUGGGUCUAAUUAGACAUGAAGCCAAAGCAAAGAAUUUCCUUUCCCAAGUUGUCUAUGAGAGUUUUGGGUAUUUGUUUGAGUGAAUCAGGCUUACGGAUGAAGCCAGACUAUCCUUCAGGCUCAGACUGUGACUUGUGAUAUAGGAUAGGAAAAAUGGCGUCGGGAAGGCCAACCUCUUCUAUUUGCUACCUGUGCCUGACUGUAGUUGACUGGCUGCACACUAUAUCUGCAGUGAUUUAGACUCCCCUCUCCCACUGUCAGCACUCCCUCAGGAGCUCAAUAAAGGGAACCCAAACACUGCA